rnacentral:rRNA from 1 species
AUCUUAAUGAGAGUUUGAUCCUGGCUCAGGACGAACGCUGGCGGCGUGCCUAAUACAUGCAAGUAGAACGCUGAGGACUGGUGCUUGCACCGGUCCAAGGAG